AUUGAACGCUGGCGGCAGGCCUAACACAUGCAAGUCGAACGAGUGGCGGACGGGUGAGUAAUGUCUGGGAAAUUGCCCGAAGGAGGGGGCUAACUAGUGGAAACGGUAGCUAAUACCGCAUACCAUCGGUUGUGCACAGAUGGGAUUAGCUAGUAGGUGGGGUAACGGCUCACCUAGGCGACGAUCCCUCGCUGGUCUGAGAGGAUGACCGGCCACACUGGAACUGAGCCACGGUCCAGACUCCUACGGGAGGCAGCAGUGGGGAAUAUUGCACAAUGGGCGCAAGCACGAUGCAGCCAUGCCGCGUGUGUGAAGAAGGCCUUCGGGUUGUAAAGUACUUUCAGCGAGGAGGCGGUACUCGCAGAAGAAGCACCGGCUAACUCCGUGCCAGCAGCCGCGGUAAUAC
rnacentral:rRNA from 1 species